UCUUAGAGAUAUUUUCACUGGGUCAUAGUUGCUUAUUUAUUGUUUUUGUGAGAGGGAUGAACAUUGGAGUCUCCUAGUAUAACACCUUGCUGACAUCAUGCUGCUAUUGAUUUAUGAUCUUUGCCUUUGCUCAUUCAGUCUCUCUAUGGAAAUACUUUGUCAAAUUUUGCCUGAUUUCCUAAGUCUCUGUUCUGUUUUUGUGUAAAUCCUUUGCUACCACCAGUAAAGUUGUUUCUCUAAUUGUGGUGACUCGGGUACUGAGCUUGGCCUAAAGAAAUAUUUUCUGGAUGUUCAGAAGGUAGCAAAUACGGUGGUUACAAAUAUGAGUUACGAAGUUCAAGCUUGAGCAUCACCGUCUACCUGUGUGACUUGUGGAUUAGAAGCCCACUGGAAUGCUAGAAGAGUGCCCCAGAAUCCAAAUGAUAAAGUGCAUCUGAGCAGCAUAAGGGGUGGACUGUGGCACUUUAUUCACUGAUGUUACCUUCCUGGACCCUUAACAUACCUGCAUUUGUGAUUGUCAUCAUGGAAUCUUAGCCUCGGAGAAGGCCACCAAUGUGCAGUCAGCUCUAACGAACUAGUGCCCUCACCAGCACUCCUGACGAGAGUGAUGUGCUGGUGUUGGAACACUGUAGGAAGCUUACCAACUCUGAACAUAGUAGCCUGGAUCCUUUCAGACAGCUUGGACUGUUAGAAAGUUCUGCCUUUUCAGGAGUCAAAAUAUGCUUGCUUGUGACAUUCGCCUCACUAUUCCCAGCCCAGUCCUCUAAAGAAAGGUUCAU